rnacentral:tRNA from 1 species
UGGAAUAUAGCCAAAUGGUAAGGCAAUGGACUUUGACUUCAUGAUAUGUAGGUUCAAUUCCUACUAUUCCAG